rnacentral:rRNA from 1 species
AACGUACGCUGGCGGCACGCCUAACACAUGCAAGUCGAACGAAGUAGCAAUACUUAGUGGCAGACGGGUGAGUAACAUGUAGGUAUCUGCCCUUUGGCCUGGAAUAACACGAGGAAACUUGUGCUAAUACCGGAUAAGUCUUUACGGAGAAAGCUUUAUGCACCAUUGGAUGAGCCUGCACUUGAUUAGUUUGUUGGUGGGGUAAUGGCCUACCAAGACUGUGAUCAAUAGCUGAUUUGAGAGGAUGAUCAGCCACAUUGGGACUGAGACACGGCCCAAACUCCUACGGGAGGCAGCAGUGGGGAAUCUUGCACAAUGGAGGAAACUCUGAUGCAGCGAUGCCGCGUGAGUGAAGAAGGCCCUUGGGUUGUAAAGCUCUUUCGUCGGGGAAGAAAAUGACUGUACCCGAAUAAGAAGGUCCGGCUAACUUCGUGCCAGCAGCCGCGGUAAUACGAAGGGACCUAGCGUAGUUCGGAAUUACUGGGCUUAAAGAGUUCGUAGGUGGUUGAAAAAGUUAGUGGUGAAAUCCCAGAGCUUAACUCUGGAACUGCCAUUAAAACUUUUCAGCUAGAGUAUGAUAGAGGAAAGCAGAAUUUCUAGUGUAGAGGUGAAAUUCGUAGAUAUUAGAAAGAAUACCAAUUGCGAAGGCAGCUUUCUGGAUCAUUACUGACACUGAGGAACGAAAGCAUGGGUAGCGAAGAGGAUUAGAUACCCUCGUAGUCCAUGCCGUAAACGAUGUGUGUUAGACGUUGGAAAUUUAUUUUCAGUGUCGCAGGGAAACCGAUAAACACACCGCCUGGGGAGUACGACCGCAAGGUUAAAACUCAAAUGAAUUGACGGGGACCCGCACAAGUAGUGGAGCAUGUGGUUUAAUUCGAAGAUACGCGCAGAACCUUACCAACACUUGACAUGUUCGUCGCGACUCUAAGAGAUUAGAGUUUUCGGUUCGGCCGGACGAAACACAGGUGCUGCAUGGCUGUCGUCAGCUCGUGUCGUGAGAUGUUGGGUUAAGUCCCGCAACGAGCGCAACCCUCACUUUUAGUUGCCAUCAUUAAGUUGGGCACUCUGAAAGAACUGCCAGUGAUAAGCUGGAGGAAGGUGGGGAUGACGUCAAGUCCUCAUGGCCCUUACGUGUUGGGCUACACACGUGCUACAAUGGUAUCUACAACAGGAAGCAAGACUGCGAAGUUAAGCAAAUCCCUAAAAGAUACCUCAGUUCGGAUUGCACUCUGCAAACUCGAGUGCAUGAAGCUGGAAUUACUAGUAAUCGUGGUUCAGCGUGCCACGGUGAAUGCGUUUCCCGGGUCU